rnacentral:rRNA from 1 species
AGGACGAACGCUGGCGGCGUGCUUAACACAUGCAAGUCGAACGAUGAACUCACCUUCGGGUGGGGGAUUAGUGGCGAACGGGUGAGUAACACGUGGGCAACCUGCCCCUGACUCUGGGAUAACUCCGGGAAACCGGAGCUAAUACCGGAUAUGAACACGAAGGACACCCUUUGUGUUGGAAAGUUUUUCGGUCAGGGAUGGGCCCGCGGCCUAUCAGCUAGUUGGUGGGGUAAUGGCCCACAAGGCGACGACGGGUAG